rnacentral:rRNA from 1 species
AUACGGAGGGUGCAAGCGUUACUCGGAAUCACUGGGCGUAAAGCGCGCGCAGGCGGGCUGAUAAGUUGGAUGUGAAAGCCUGCGGCUCAACCGUAGAACCGCAUCCAAAACUGUCAGUCUAGAGUCUGGGAGGGAAGAUGGAAUUAGUUGUGUAGGGGUAAAAUCCGUAGAGAUAACUAGGAAUACCAAAAGCGAAGGCGAUCUUCUGGAACAGUACUGACGCUGAGGCGCGAAAGCGUGGGGAGCAAACAGGAUUAGAAACCCCAGUAGUCC